rnacentral:rRNA from 1 species
UAGCAUAAUCAUUAGUUUUUUAAUUGGAAACUCGUAUGAAUGGUUGGACAAAGAAAAAUCUGUCUCUUUUAUUAAAAUUGAAUUUGACUUUUAAGUGAAAAGGCUUAAAUUUUCUAGAGGGACGAUAAGACCCUAUAAAGCUUUAUAAAUUCGAUAAUUUUGCAAAUUUGUACAAAUAAAAGUAAUUUUGAAAAAUUUAUUUGGUUGGGGCGACAAAAGUAUAAUUAAAAUAACUGCUAGAAUUUCAAACAAUAAUUUUUGAUUUAGGUUUGUAAAUGAUCCCUUAUAAGGAUUAAAAGAUCAAGUUACUUUAGGGAUAACAGCGUAAUCUUUUUUGAGAGUGCUUAUCAAAAAAAAGGAUUGCGACCUC